UACGUAGGGGACGAGCGUUGUCCGGAAUUACUGGGCGUAAAGGGCGCGCAGGCUGUGCUGCAAGUCAGCUGUGAAAUGUCUGGGCUUAACCCGGGCAUGCGGUUGAGACUGCAGUGCUGGAGUGCUGUAGAGGCAAGUGGAAUUCCCAGUGUAGCGGUGAAAUGCGUAGAUAUUGGGAAGAACACCGGUGGCGAAGGCGACUUGCUGGGCAGCAACUGACGCUCAUGCGCGAAAGCUGGGGUAGCGAA
rnacentral:rRNA from 1 species